GAUAAACGCUGGCGGCGUGCUUAACACAUGCAAGUCGAACGAAGUUUUUCUUUCGGGAGAAACUUAGUGGCGGACGGGUGAGUAACGCGUGGGUAACCUGCCCUGUACAGGGGGACAACAGCUGGAAACGGCUGCUAAUACCGCAUAAGCCCUUAGCACUGCAUGGUGCAUAGGGAAAAGGAGUAAUCCGGUACAGGAUGGACCCGCGUCUGAUUAGCCAGUUGGCAGGGUAACGGCCUACCAAAGCAACGAUCAGUAGCCGAUCUGAGAGGAUGUACGGCCACAUUGGGACUGAGACACGGCCCAGACUCCUACGGGAGGCAGCAGUGGGGAAUAUUGCACAAUGGAGGAAACUCUGAUGCAGCGACGCCGCGUGAGUGAAGAAGUAUUUCGGUAUGUAAAGCUCUAUCAGCAGGGAAGAAAAUGACGGUACCUGACUAAGAAGCAC
rnacentral:rRNA from 1 species